GAUGAACGCUGGCGGCGUGCCUAAUACAUGCAAGUCGAGCGAACAGACGAGGAGCUUGCUCCUCUGACGUUAGCGGCGGACGGGUGAGCAACACGUGGAUAACCUACCUACAAGACUGGGAUAACUUCGGGAAACCGGAGCUAAUACCGGAUAAUAUAUUGAACCGCAUGGUUCAAUAGUGAAAGACGGUUUUGCUGUCACUUAUAGAUGGAUCCGCGCCGCAUUAGCUAGUUGGUAAGGUAACGGCUUACCAAGGCGACGAUGCGUAGCCGACCUGAGAGGGUGAUCGGCCACACUGGAACUGAGACACGGUCCAGACUCCUACGGGAGGCAGCAGUAGGGAAUCUUCCGCAAUGGGCGAAAGCCUGACGGAGCAACGCCGCGUGAGUGAUGAAGGUCUUCGGAUCGUAAAACUCUGUUAUUAGGGAAGAACAAAUGUGUAAGUAACUAUGCACGUCUUGACGGUACCUAAUCAGAAAGCCACGGCUAACUACGUG
rnacentral:rRNA from 1 species